AAUCAAAACUUACAUAAAAAAUAAAAGCUAAAAUAAAAUAGAUUUACUAUGGUACAGAGAAAUAUUGAUAUUUAUUUAUUAUUUUGUACAUGGAUGGACCUUUAACUUUGCAUUAUUUAUGAUUGGUGAAGAGGAGAAAAAACACAAUUUGUUGACACUCAAAAUUCUUGCGUCGCACGCACAAAUAAAUGACAGACUACAAAUAGAAAUAACAGCAUUUUAGCUAACUAAAAUGAAACUGUAUUUGAUUUAAGUUCAUUUUCCAUCUGAUAAUACAAAUAGUAUUUUUAAGAAUUGUCAUAACCAAUAAUUUGAUGCUUGGGUUAGUUUUGAUAAUAUUGGCUUUUUCAUUGAACUUACUACCAAUUCCUUGUGCUUGCCAGGUCAUUGUCGGCAGUUUUGUU
rnacentral:misc_RNA from 1 species